rnacentral:rRNA from 1 species
AUUGAACGCUGGCGGCAGGCCUAACACAUGCAAGUCGAACGAGUGGCGGACGGGUGAGUAAUGUCUGGGAAUCUGCCUGGUGGUGGGGGAUAACGACCGGAAACGGGCGCUAAUACCGCAUACUAUCAGAUGAGCCUAGGUCGGAUUAGCUAGUUGGUGGGGUAAAGGCUCACCAAGGCGACGAUCCCUAACUGGUCUGAGAGGAUGACCAGCCACACUGGAACUGAGACACGGUCCAGACUCCUACGGGAGGCAGCAGUGGGGAAUAUUGCACAAUGGGCGCAAGCCUGAUGCAGCCAUGCCGCGUGUAUGAAGAAGGCCUUCGGGUUGUAAAGUACUUUCAGCGGGGAGGCGUUACCCGCAGAAGAAGCACCGGCUAACUCCGUGCCAGCAGCCGCGGUAAUUC